UCCCAAAUCCCAUCACCUUCUUCUUCUAUCAGUACCCUCCCUCCCUCUCUCUCUCUCGGUUACUUUCAUCUUCUCUGUUACUAAAUUUUUCUCUGCAAAAGCUCCUGAAUCCUCUUUGUUCCAAAUUAUCCUGUGGUUGUGGAUCGCACCUUCGUAAGCUCUUCUUCCAUGUCUGCAUCCUUUUAAAGGUUUUCCAUUUGGUUCAAUUUGGUUAUGUUUCUCACUUUUUGUCCUACAACAUAUUCACCUCUCAUGAGAAAUCCAAAAUGUAAACUAGCUAUUUCUUGGACGGUAUUGUGUUUCAGUUGCAAGAUGUCCUCUUUGUUGAGCUUUCGGAAACUUCCUGAAAAAAGAGAUGUACAUAAUCCAAUCAGGGAACUAAAUGGUUUAGUGAACUAAAUGGCAGAAGAUUAUGUGCCUGUCUUGGUGAUUGUCGACUUGAAUUUGACAUGACACCCCAUAUGAGUGUGCUCUUUGGACAAAUUAAUUUAUGAUUUCGAAAAUGACAGAGACUGCAAUAGUUCCAGAUUUUCCUUCGUGCUUGGUUAUUCUUCAAUUGCUCAACUAUAUAUUUAUUUGGAUUUGAUCAGUGAUUGUUGCUCAGCUACUUAUGUUCUGCCAUUUUGUUAGUAAUAGAUGAUCCAGCCAAAUUUCUGUACUUGCGAGGUAAAAAUUGUGUUUGUUCACAACAUUAUUCUGGA